rnacentral:rRNA from 1 species
AUUGAACGCUGGCGGCAGGCCUAACACAUGCAAGUCGAGCGGAUGCAGGGAGCUUGCUCCUGGAUUCAGCGGCGGACGGGUGAGUAAUGCCUAGGAAUCUGCCUGGUAGUGGGGGAUAACGUCCGGAAACGGGCGAUAAUACCGCAUACGUCCUGAGGGAGUAAGUGGGGGAUCUUCGGACCUCACGCUAUCAGAUGAGCCUAGGUCGGAUUAGCUAGUUGGUGGGGUAAAGGCCUACCAAGGCGACGAUCCGUAACUGGUCUGAGAGGAUGAUCAGUCACACUGGAACUGAGACACGGUCCAGACUCCUACGGGAGGCAGCAGUGGGGAAUAUUGGACAAUGGGCGAAAGCCUGAUCCAGCCAUGCCGCGUGUGUGAAGAAGGUCUUCGGAUUGUAAAGCACUUUAAGUUGGGAGGAAGGGCAGUAAGUUAAUACCUUGCUGUUUUGACGUUACCAACAGAAUAAGCACCGGCUAACUUCGUG